UAUUAGUUUACCUUUGUGAGAUUUCUUACUGACUAUUGGCCUAACCUCAGUUCACUGAUACUUUCUUCUGCCAGCUCAAGUCUACUGAUCCUUUACAUUGAAUCACUCUGUAAAGCUGAUUGGCUAGUGAGGAAGAAAAUAACUGACCCAAUCUCUCCCAUGGUUCAAAAGCCUUUAGUGUCUCCCACUUACCAUUGAGGGAAAGAUGAAAUGAUUUAACAUAGAAUGUAAGGCAUGGUCCCAUCUAGUGUCAACUUCAAUCACCAGAUUUCAUUCUCUGCCAUUCCAGAAAUUCAUAUCCUUUGCUGUAUCCAAGGGUUUCCCAAACCUGGCUGUGCCUUAGUCCCAUCUAGAAGCUUUUAAAACAUACCAAGCCCAGGACUCACGUACAGAAUUAAUUCACAAGCUUCAUAGUGGAAUUGUGUAUCCCUCUGCUUUAAAAUUUUCCAGAUGAUUCUAAUAUAGGUCCAAUUUUUUUAAAGUUCUAAGGCUUAGACUCUUUUUGUAUUAACAUUUCCAAACUGUUUCUUCUUUGUCCUGCUUGAUUCUCUUGUCCCUUUCCAACUCAUCAGUUUCAGAAGAUUUCACAUAUUUUCUCUCUCUCAAAAUCUAUAACUGCACAUAUUUCCUUCUUUCCUCCUCGUACUCCUGUGUUCAUCAGAUCAGAUUGUCCCAAGCCUCCUGCUGAGGAAAGAUGUAGUGAUAAAUAUUUGGGAGGCAUCUCUCAUGACCUGCUUUAUAGCCCCCACUGAGGACCUGUAAGACCUCUGUCUCUUAUCUGCCCAGAUAAGAGCUAUCAAACUCCUCACUCUGAUAUCAGCAAUGGCGACUUCUUUGGAUGGAGCUCGAUGGUGGAGAAAGCCCCAGAUUCUGUGGUUGCUAAACGCAAAAUGUCGGGAAGGAAUGAUGCCUUCCAGAUCUGAUAUUCUUUGAAAAUUGCAUUAUCAUCUCUGAGUUCCUGAAAUCAAGGCCUUGUGUAAGGAAAGAACUCACCCACAUCUCAGGAGAGCAGGUAGGUCCGGCGGGGACACUGUGGAGGGAGCCCUGGUGAAGAGCAUUGCUGUGAGGACAGCUGCAACUGAUCCUUCCUGAAAGAACUACUUGACAAAAUGUCUUUCUUCUCAUCAUGGAUGAAAGCUAUUUUCCUUAUUGCCUUGCUAUUUCCUCUUCACUCUGAAUCUGCUUUUUCACCACCAAAAAACAUUCUAAGAAGAUGGAUUCUACAAGCAAUUAGAGUAUUCUCAACCAGAGUUUUAAAUUCCAAGAUGACUGGACAAAGCCUGCUCUAGUAUACAAGAUGGAAUAUAGGAUGUUGAAGAAUUUUUCCAAUUCUAAGAAACUGUGAUUGAAAAAUUUUUAUCCUGUUUGUUGAAUUAUGAAUGACAGUUGCAAAAUUAUCUUAAUUGUAUUUGACAAUAUAAAA
rnacentral:lncRNA from 1 species